ensembl:lncRNA
UGACAGACUGUGACAUACAACAGAGAGUCCAAGGAGAGGUGAGUGACAGACUGUGACAUACAACAGAGAGUCCAAGGAGAGGUGGGAUACAGACUCUGCCACAUACAACAAAGAGUGGCUUUAUUCAUCAAUAUACAACAACAUGGAGGAUACAACACCGAAAUUCAUUGUGAAAUAAAACCCUUCGUGGUAUGUGUCCUCUUAUCUGGCCUGCCGCCGCCCUAGUCCCUGCCCUUGUCCCUGCUCUGCGGACUGCGGUUGCGCCAGUCCCUUCAGCUGUCUCUAUUGUUUCUCCACAGCCAGCCCCAGUCCCUUUUCCGCAAGUCGGGGGAGUUUCUUUAUAUAUGGGGGUUCCUGAAUAUUUAGUUACGCCCUCUGAUGUUCGCUAUUGGUCAGUUUAAAUGGGGGUUCCUGAACAUUAAGUUACAUCCACUGAUGUUCGCCAUUGGUCAGUUUGGGGACAUCCUGGUUUGACACACGUUUCAACAAUAGGUGUCAUGUAUGGGUAUGAUGUCAUUACGUUGAGUGUACUAAUGGAGGAAGAGUAAACUAUAGUUACAACUUUAUCUCAGAGUCCAUGUGAUUUUAUUCAAUAUAAUUUGUCAAGAUAUAACUCUAGGUUCAAGCAGUUGAAGCACUGAUAGAAAACAAAAGUGUAUUUGCUUUGACUGCAUGUUGAAAAAACACUAGUCUGAUUAUGCUUGUACCAAUUAUGUAAAAUAAAACAUUUAAUUGUAUUUUGUAUCAGGAUUAAAAUUGUUUGAUAACAACUGAAAUAUAUUGUUUUGAAGACUGAGGUGCCUCUAAAAAAGUUUUAAAUGUUUAGGUUACAGUCAAGAAUGAGAUACUGGUGGUUUUGAAAGCUGCUAAGUGCAGUUAUAAUUCAGACACAUGCACAGUCAUACUCACUAUGCCUGCCAUGGUCAGUUUUUCUUUGAGUAGCCAUUGCUUGGUUAUAUGUGAUUAAGUUGAAGGCCAUCAUUAGGAGGUUGAUGAUUGAGAAUGCUGCUUAUUGCAGUUAAAAUAUAGUUGAUCUGAGCUCUUCAUGUUACAAAGUGAAACAGGCCUCCCUUUUGCACAAGUUUAUACAAUAUUACCAUUUAUGUAUUUUCCAUAGAUUCAACAUAUUACACAAAUGUGAACACGGUGUGUAAGAUAUAUCUUGCGGUGGACCUGGGAGCAACAACUUCAGUGACAGCUAAACUGUUCUGAAGGUCCUUUCCCUAGACCUGUGGGUUCUACCUGUAUAGAUCUGACCAGUUUUCAUACAAAUCAUUGUAAUGGUUUCUCCUUCCUCUGACUUGCACUGUUCAAUUUAAAAGCAAUCUUGUAGAAAGUUGAAACUGGUAAUUGGAAGUGUGGAAUUUUCUAUAGCCUGUUGCAGAAAAAUGGCAAGUUUCAAUUUGCAUCAUGUAGAGCUCAGGUCAACAUCUGUUUACAGAACAAUACAUUUUUCCAGGAGUGCCUGGAACAAGCAACAUUUAUUAUAUAGUAAUGAUGUGGUUAUGGACUUAAUUUUUUGGGGGGAGGAAUGUAAGUGUUACAUCUAAUUUAACCCUUAACCUAAAAGUUGAUUCAAUAGCAUAAAUUACAAGUAGAACAGGUCCAAAAGAGCACAAAUGAGAAAGUCAAUUAAUGUAGCCCAAAAUCUUAAAGUUAAUGGCAUAACUUAAAAAUACAACAUUAAAUUAUAUGCCAGUUAGACAAUUAAACAUUUAAUUACCCCAUUAAAUAUUCAAAACAUUACAUUCCAACACUGUCAAAACUAAACUGUUUCUUUACGUACUGUGUAUUCAACUUUGGCCAGAUUCUGUAGGAUUUGGAUUCAUCCUAUCAUGUUGUAUGGCCAGGUGAACACUUCCAAAACACUGUCCAGUUUAUUCUUGCUAAAUAAAUGAUGUUCUUUGUCUGUUUGUCUCGUCAAAUUGUAUUGUGUUUUCUGGAUCUUGUAAUUGUUGUUGUGUGGAAAACAGCAUUAGAUGAUGGUUUAAAGACAGCUAAUAGGUAUCCUGAAAAAUUAUCACUAAGUCCUCUUUUGUCUGUUUCGUCCAUGAAUGUUUCAGUGUCUUCAAAAUUACUAAACAAAAACAUGAAUGGGGAGAGAGUUCUUCCUCUAGAUUUGAAGCCUCUCUGAGCAUCUGCAGACCACCUGUAUUUCCUCAUCAUUCAGGGGUGAGGACUUGUACCCAGUCUCAGGAGAGGCCCAUGUUGGCAUUUACCCAGGCAACAGCAUCUCCCAGCUCAACAAUGCAUCUUUGGAACUGAAAUGAAAAAUCACAACAAUCACAGUCCCUGCUGCCACAGCAUACAACACCGAAAUUCAUUUUGACAUAAAACCCUUGGUGGUAUGUGACCUCUUAUUUGGCCUGCCGCCGCCCUAGUCCCUUCUCUGCGGCCGGCCCCCAUCCCAGUCUCUGCCCCUACUCCGCGUCCUGUCGCCGCUCCAGUCCCUGCCAUCGUCCCUCUUGUUGCUCCACAGCCAGCCCCAGUCCCGUUUUCCAAAGCCUGCCACCCCUUUUCUUCUCCUCGGCCUGCCGCCGCCCCUGUUUCUGCUCAGCGGCCUGCCGCUGCCCCUGUGCCUAAACUACAGUGCGUUUAUUGUUUACAGCCUGAAUUAUUUAUAACUCAGUUCCACUGGUAACCAAGUGGCUUUAUUCAUCAAUAUACAACAACAUGGAGGAUACAACACCAAAAUUCAUUGUGACAGAAAACCCUUCGUGGUAUGUGACCUCUUAUUUGGCCUGCCGCUGUCCUAGUCCCUGCCACCGCCCCUCUUGUUGCUCCACAGCCAGCACCUGUCCCUUUUCCACGGCCUGCUGCCGCCCCAGUUUCUUUACCGCGGCCUUCCGCCGCCCCAGUCCCUAUUUCUUUCUGACAUUCAGUCACACCGUUUCAUUAUUAGUUGAGUGUUAUUUUUAGUAUUGCAGUAGCCUUUAUAUUAGGGACCAGGAUAAUAGGUAUAUUGAUGCAAUGUUUUGUCUUCUCCUGUAAGGACUGUGUGGCGGACCUCUAGCUUAAUGCAUGGACACGAAUUGGGACAACCAUGUGAAGUGAAACCUCCUGCAACCUUUCACUUUGGCACGUUCUGUGUUCCAGAGCCAGAUUCAUGGCAUAACGGAAAUUUUGUUUGGGAAAAGGCGGAAGGCCUGACCUUGUUAUGCCUGGAACACAUCUCCAAUUCAACGCUGAGACAGAACAGCACAACUUGAAAUUGAACCUUGAGCCUUGUGCCCAACAGCAACAAAUUGUGGGCACAGAGUGGCUCGAUACAGAAGAAGAUGAGACAGUAUUUCUGUCAAGGUUUCUACAACAUCUUGAUUAAGGCAGAGAGGCCUUCAGGGCGAUACGGACAAGGGCAACAACAGUACUCUGCAAAAAACAACCUUGUCUACUAUGACAGAAGCAGAGCCGUGAUCAGAACAUACACUGUCGUUAUCCUGACAACUGGGAAAGAUUAAGCCAUGGUUGGACGAUUCCGCCAUGGUUGGAUAAAUGAGCCAAGGUUGGACGAUUCAGUCAUGGCUGGACGAUUCAGCCAUGGCUGGACGAUUCAGCUAUGGCUGGACGAUUCAGCUAUUGGUGGAUAAAUGAGCCAUGGGUGGACGAUUCAGCCAUGGCUGGACGAUUCAGCCAUGGGUGGACGAUUCAGCCAUGGGUGGACGAUUCAGCUAUGGGUGGAUAAAUUAACCAUGGUUGGACGAUUCCGCCAUGGUUGGAUAAAUGAGCCAUGGUUGGAAGAUUCAGCCAUGGUUGGACGAAUCGGCCAUGGGUGGACGAUUCAGCCAUGAGUGGAUAAAUGAGACACGGUGGGACACAAAAAACUUCAGCAAAGCGGUGACGCAAGAUCACUCAGCUUCUAAGUCAAAUAAGUCUUCAGCCUGUAAGUUAUCUGGGUCCAAACAUACAAAGAAGAACAGCCGGCCUGACAGGAGUGAGGAGAAACAUGGCAGGAGUGACAAGGUGGUUAAAGACAUGUCUGUCCGGUGCUUUGACAGAGAGGGCUGGACAAAAAGGCAAAAGCUGUCGGACUCGGGAAAAGCUGUCGGAUGACUACGAAGGGGAGGAGAAACUGGGGGGAGGUAUAAAGGGAGUCAGUCCUUCCAAGAUAAAAUGCACUAGCUCUCUUAUCAGCAACACCUACUCCGAGCAGAAGGAGAGAAGAGCGUGUGAGAAUACUCAAAAGGGCAUGCUUGACAAUACACCCAGACGCAAACUCAAAAGGACAGAGCCAGGGAGGUCCCUCCAGGAGCCAGAGGCUCUCAAAAAGCAAGAACCCAGCUACCACCCCAACGCUACAUCUUCACAUAGAAGUCCUGGUGUUCCACAGACCCAAGCGCAGAGCUUAAGUGGAGAGGCUGCAAGAGUGGCCAAGGUGACCGAUCAAGCUGCGUGGCCUACUGAUACCCUUCAACAAGAGUCACCUGAUUACAAGGGAGAGAGGGGGUGUGACCGUGAGGAGGACGGGCUAGACAGAGAGGAUCACCCGAACCAACCUGCUGAGCCUACAUCUGCUGCAGAGUCGUCACUGGAAGUUACUGAUGUCCAAUCAGACUUUCAUGAUAGACUAGACCAGCUGGUGGCUAAACCGUCCAACAAGAUGAAACCUAGCGCUCAAAGCAAAAAAAGAGAUCUGCGUAGCAAAAGAGUUGGCAAAUGUGCCAAGAAACAAGAACCUUUUCACCACCCCAAAGCGGUGACGCAAGAUCGCUCGGCUUCUAAGUCAAAUAAGUCUUCAGCCUCUAAAUCAUCUGGGUCCAAGAGUGACAACAUGGCCCACGAUUCACCAGCACACAGCUUGCACCACAGGUACAGUCAGGACAACGAGCACCCUUGGCUGAACGAGGCUGAGGAAGUGAACAGGGAAGAGGAAGAGUGUCAUGACGAUGAAGAUGAGAUCCCCGGUGAGGAUUUGGCGGCUACGAUGGACUACAACAACAGCGAGAGUCCAGGCGAAUACGAUUGCAGUGACGACUUCAUAGACGACCGAUCUACCGAGGAGGAAUACAGCAAAGAAGUGGAGGAGGAUGAUGAGGUGUUCUGUGCUCAGGUUAAAAGGAGGGCCAAAAAGGCUAUGAGGGAGAUGAAGAAUGUUAAUCUGGGACAUGAGUAUAAGCGCGUGUCACAUUCAGAGUCCGAAGAAGACGAGUACUGCCCAGAGUCUGCCUGUAGCGUUAUGAAAGAGGACACUCUGGGGUGUAAACGUGCCCUGCAAUCAGACUCAGAUGAGUUGAUCAAGCCAGAUGUAAAGCGUGUCAAACUUACAAAGAACAGCCGGCCUGACAGGAGUGAGGAGAAAUGUAGCAGGAGUGCCAGCAUGGUAAAAGAGACAUCUGUGCAGCGCUUUGACCGAGAGGAUAAGACGCUUGUUAAAAAGAGACAGGACAAGUCUAACAAGAGGUGCGAAAGAGUAAUGUCUGCUAAGAACACACAGAUCCCAAAUCGGGAUUCGCCUCUGUACAAAACCAAGCUUUCGGACUCGGAAACCGAUGACUACGAAAGGGAGGAGAAACUGGGGAGAGGUAUAAAGGGAGUCAGUCCUUCCAAGAUAAAAUGCACUAGCUCUCUUAUCAGCAACACCUACUCCGUGCAGGAGGAGAGAAGAGUGUGUGAGAAUACUCAAAAGGGCAUGCUUGACAAUACACCCAGACGCAAACUCAAAAGGACAGAGCCAGGGAGGUCCCUCCAGGAGCCAGAGGCUCUCAAAAAGCAAGAACCCAGCUACCACCCCAACGCUACAUCUUCACAUAGAAGUCCUGGUGUUCCACAGACCCAAGCGCAGAGCUUAAGUGGAGAGGCUGCAAGAGUGGCCAAGGUGACCGAUCAAGCUGCGUGGCCUACUGAUACCCUUCAACAAGAGUCACCUGAUUACAAGGGAGAGGGGGGGUGUGACCGUGAGGAGGACGGGCUAGACAGAGAGGAUCACCCGAACCAACCAGCUGAGCCUACAUCUGCUGCAGAGUCGUCACAGGAACAUUCUGAUGUCCAAUCAGACUUUCAUGAUAGACUAGACCAGCUGGUGACUAAACCGUCCAACAAGAUGAAACCUAGCGCUCAAAGCAAAAAAAGCGAUCUGCGUAGCAAAAGAGUUGGCAAAUGUGCCAAGAAACAAGAACCUUUUCACCACCCCAAAGCGGUGACGCAAGAUCGCUCGGCUUCUAAGUCAAAUAAGUCUUCAGCCUCUAAAUCAUCUGGGUCCAAGAGUGACAACAUGGCCCACGAUUCACCAGCACACAGCUUGCACCACAGGUACAGUCAGGACAACGAGCACCCUUGGCUGAACGAGGCUGAGGAAGUAAACUGCGAAUCGGAAGAGUGUCAUGAGGAUGAAGAUAAGAUCCCCGGUGAGGAUUUGGAGGAUACGAUGGACUACAAAAACAGCGAGAGUCCAGACGAAUACGAUUACAGUGACGACUUCAUUGAUGACUUCAUAAGACUUCAUAUCACUUCAUAAGAAGUGAUACAGAUUGCUUAUUUUAGUUUGAUAUCUAACUUAGCAAAAUGUUUAAUACCUGUGUGACAUAUUCCAACCCAUCCCUGUACCCAUCUCUGUAUGUGAUAAUAAAAUUAAGUUAAACACCGG